AAUCUAUGAUGUGGGCAUUUGUGAAUCAGCGUCUUAAAAUGCUCCCAAGCUUCAUGGAAACUUUCUCCUUCAAAUUGCUAAAACGUAGUAAUCUCUCUCCUUAGCU
rfam:Gossypium raimondii chromosome 10, whole genome shotgun sequence.